GACGAACACUGGCGGCGUGCUUAACACAUGCAAGUCGAACGGAAAGGCCCUGCUUUUGUGGGGUGCUCGAGUGGCGAACGGGUGAGUAACACGUGAGUAACCUGCCCUUGACUUUGGGAUAACUUCAGGAAACUGGGGCUAAUACCGGAUAGGAGCUCCUGCUGCAUGGUGGGGGUUGGAAAGUUUCGGCGGUUGGGGAUGGACUCGCGGCUUAUCAGCUUGUUGGUGGGGUAGUGGCUUACCAAGGCUUUGACGGGUAGCAGGCCUGAGAGGGUGACCGGCCACAUUGGGACUGAGAUACGGCCCAGACUCCUACGGGAGGCAGCAGUGGGGAAUAUUGCACAAUGGGCGGAAGCCUGAUGCAGCAACGCCGCGUGCGGGAUGACGGCCUUCGGGUUGUAAACCGCUUUCGCCUGUGACGAAGCGUGAGUGACGGUAAUGGGUAAAGAAGCACCGGCUAACUACGUGCCAGCAGCCGCGGUGAUACGUAGGGUGCGAGCGUUGUCCGGAUUUAUUGGGCGUAAAGGGCUCGUAGGUGGUUGAUCGCGUCGGAAGUGUAAUCUUGGGGCUUAACCCUGAGCGUGCUUUCGAUACGGGUUGACUUGAGGAAGGUAGGGGAGAAUGGAAUUCCUGGUGGAGCGGUGGAAUGCGCAGAUAUCAGGAGGAACACCAGUGGCGAAGGCGGUUCUCUGGGCCUUUCCUGACGCUGAGGAGCGAAAGCGUGGGGAGCGAACAGGCUUAGAUACCCUGGUAGUCCACGCUGUAAACGGUGGGUACUAGGUGUGGGGUCCAUUCCACGGGUUCCGUGCCGUAGCUAACGCUUUAAGUACCCCGCCUGGGGAGUACGGCCGCAAGGCUAAAACUCAAAGGAAUUGACGGGGCCCCGCACAAGCGGCGGAGCAUGCGGAUUAAUUCGAUGCAACGCGUAGAACCUUACCUGGGUUUGACAUGGAUCGGGAGCGCUCAGAGAUGGGUGUGCCUCUUUUGGGGUCGGUUCACAGGUGGUGCAUGGCUGUCGUCAGCUCGUGUCGUGAGAUGUUGGGUUAAGUCCCGCAACGAGCGCAACCCUUGUUCACUGUUGCCAGCACGUUAUGGUGGGGACUCAGUGGAGACCGCCGGGGUCAACUCGGAGGAAGGUGGGGAUGACGUCAAGUCAUCAUGCCCCUUAUGUCCAGGGCUUCACGCAUGCUACAAUGGCUGGUACAGAGAGUGGCGAGCCUGUGAGGGUGAGCGAAUCUCGGAAAGCCGGUCUCAGUUCGGAUUGGGGUCUGCAACUCGACCUCAUGAAGUCGGAGUCGCUAGUAAUCGCAGAUCAGCAACGCUGCGGUGAAUACGUUCCCGGGGCU
rnacentral:rRNA from 1 species